rnacentral:lncRNA from 1 species
AUUUAUAUAUAUAAUAAAUUAUAAUAACACUAAAAUUUAAAUACAUCAUAAAAUGAAACUAUUAAUAAUAUAAAAUUAUCCAUCAAGCAAAUAAUAUCCAUAAAGCAAAUGUUCUACCCCAAGUGCAUAAGUUUAGUACAUUUCAAGAGAGUAAGUUUCAAAAAUGUUGAUAACAAAAGAUUCCUAGAACAUUCAUCUAUAACAAUUCAAAAUUCAUCUCAAGUAAGGUCUAGUUCUUCAGUGCCUUCAUUAUCUAUUUUUUGAUCUACUCCACCUACAAAAGAGGAUAAAUAAAGUUAUUACCCUUCAAGAGAAUCCGGUCUAAGAAUACUCAUAGCACAAAUUACCAUGAAAAAAGAAAAGAACAUAAAAACUCCAGAACCAACAAUAGUAGUUGUAUAACAAAAAGAAACUACAACAAGAAGUUCAAGUCUUCCAAGUUGGCCAUGUUUGACCAUAACAAAUGGUGAAGAAACAUCAGCAACUGGUUCAGAUAGUGAUGAAAACAAGAACAAUGAAAUUGAAGAUCAAGUUGAGUAUGAAAUGGAUGAGAAGAAAAAUAACCUCAUGACAGAAUCAACAAUAUUUGAGAAUCUUGUUGUGAUUCUUUUGGUUAUCACAACAGCAGCAGUGUGAGACGACCUAUGUUGACGAGUUGGAUGACUAUGCCUCAACUCAUUUUAAUGAACGUAUCGACAUCAUGCAACUAACAGUAGGGGAGAGGUUCACUUGGUUUCAACGACCAAGUCAAUUGAAUUUUUGUAGAAAUUCAAAUAGCUAAUAUAUAAAGCCCAAGGACCAUGUUAGGCUGUGUUCCCACAUCACAUUUGAAUCUUGUCCUCUUACCACGACUAUCCCACCACAUUAGAUUUUUUUGCUUUCUGUCCUUUCAAUAAUUGAAUCAAGAAAACAAAAACCAUGGCCAUUGAUAAGAUCUCUGAAGCUCCAAGUUUAGCCACAAGUCCAAGAAUCUCUUUUUCCCAUAAUCUUUGCCACAAAGAUAUUGCUGCUACUACUACUGCCAAUAAUGAUUUUAAUUCUGACUUCGAUUUAUGUAUUAGCAAUAGCACAGAUACAGAAACUUUGAAUACUUGGAAUCAACAAAAGUAGCAGAUCAUAUAUGACAUAGAUCUUACAGUAUAUCCUUCUCAUUUUUCAUAUAAAAGGUUUCACAUAGAAAGAAUUGAAUCCCGAAAAAAAUUCCAUCAUUUAGUACUACUAGGUGUGCACGUUGAGUAGAAAGUUCUUUAAAGGGACAUUUAUCACAGUUGACCAUAGAUGCAGCUUUAAACAACAUUGAUAUAUCCUAAUGAAAACAAAAAUAAUCAUGUUAGCUGGAAUCCCAGGAAGGCCACACAUUUAACAACCGUGUUAGCUGGAAUUUCUCCUCCUUUACCAAAAGAAACCACUGAAAUAUCUAAGACUCACAUACAGAGUUGGGUAAGAAGGAAACCAUAGAAAAUCCUUUAGGAAAAUUCCAUAGACUGCAAAGACGUAGCCAAAAGAAGCAGGAGAUAACUAAGCCGGCCAUCAAUUUUCAACAAAUGACCAAGAAUCUAAAGAAGACAGUAUAUAGCAUAAAAAUCAACCAACACAAAAAAGGAGAACUAAAUCAGAAGGUUCUACUAGAAAAACUAUCACAACUUCUCAUAUUCUCUUGUCUUUAAAUUUUGGUACCCAAAUGAUUAAUAUUGCUUCUGCAGGGCAAUCUUAUUCCUCAAGAAAAUAUAGAACUCUAUAAAAAGGUAAACCUCAUUCGACAAGAGAAUACAAAAUUGAAGAAAAAGGUAUUAAUUUAGAGAGUAUUGCCUCCAAUUGCAGUUUGACCAUGUACCUUAAAAUUUUGAUUUUAUCCCACAAGCAUAGAUAUCCUCUCUUUUUUAUGGGUAGCAUAGAUAUCCCUCACCUUAAUCUAAAAGGGAAGUUACCUAUUCCAAAUUUCUAAGCAAGGAUGCAGAAGUGAACCAAAUGGGGUGUCCAGGCCACACAUGUAAUCAGCAAUGGAUAUGAUGUACAUGCACCAAUCCAUCUCCAGCUAAACCCUGAGGAUACAAAAGCAAGAACAUGUGACAUGGCAACAGUAAAGGGGAACAAAGCAUCUGAAGCCGAAAAUAUUAAAUAAAAUAAGAACUAAGACAGAAACAGAACACUCCAAACAGUUAAUUUUAUUCAUACUUGAAUGAACCCUUGUUUACAGAAGUUUCCCCGCUGACAAUGAUGUUUUUAUCUUUUAGCAAUUCACCAAUCUCAAAAUUUACACGAAAGUACGUCAAAUAAGGCAAAAACUUAUAUAGGUGCAAUUCUUGUAUAAGACUCUAAUAAUAAUAAGAAACCACAUGAUCUGCUCCAGUGAGAAGGAAUUCCAAGAGAGUUCCAGUUGGCAACAAAUAUCUAUGUUAUGGAACUUGCAACAAAUAAGUUAAAAAGAAAGAGAAUGGAAAAACUACUUCCUUGUAGAUUUGCCCCAAUAUUAUAGGAUAAUCAUUUUUAAAAAUAUUGCUAUCCCCUUUAAUAAAAAAUAGUUAAGUGUGGGCAAGAGAAUGACUUAUAACAAACUUUCUUGGUCUUUGAGCUCUGAUUUUGUUGGUAAUUAUAAUACAACCGACAUUUCUUUACUGCUUUCAUAUUUUUUGUCAAGAUUCAGGGUGUUUCCCUUCCAUAAAAGCUAUAAAUAUUCUUUUGCACUACUUUAUUCUUGAUAAAAAUGAAAAGAACUAACUACAUAAAUAUAUUGGUCAGUGUUUGAAGAAGACUAGUUGGUGUAAGCCUAUGAAUUUUUCUGUGAAAAAAAGUUGGAUUACCAUGAUUCCUUGAAGUUCCUCAAAGUUCGAUUGUAAAACAGGUAAAGCCUCCAUUACUGUGAGCUUUUAAGAAUCUCUACUCUUCUAUACUAAUUUACUACUAUAAGUUAAACACAUAGAUGGUUGUAUUUAUACUUUAUGUAGUUAUGUGUCUGAUUAUACAAUAUUUCCUGCUUUCUGUUUUCCUAGUAUCAAAUAUUGGAACAAUUAACUCUAAAUACAGAAUUUACUCUACCAGCACACCGGGAUAAUGAUAUAAAUGUGAAUCCUCUGAACCCUGUUAAAUUCGAAAGUCAGACAAAAUAUACUAAUUCAUCACACACCUUUUUAUGUCAGCCAAUUCAGACUAAGAAGAGCAGUAAUUUUAACUCCAGACAUGACUCUACAGUAGAAUAAACUUUGAAAGAGCAGAAACUAACAAUAAGCUUAGACAUGUUUCUACCAUCUCCAUUAGAAUCUACCUAUAGAGAAAAGUAGUAAUAGUAUAUAGCAGAAGACUAAUCUUGACUAAUCUUCUCUGCAUAAGAGGCUAGAUAUUGUAGAGUUGUUCACAUAUCACUUAUCAUUGACAACUUGUGGUAUCAAUAAGAAAGGAAACUUCAGAAUUCGAAAUCAAAUAAUGCCCAUAUUACAUUUCUGAUGUAACAUCACAUAAUCUCUUUCUGAUGGUGACAAAAGAAGAUAGAUGAAGAAACUUGAAAGUUGCAGAAAUCUUAAUUAUGAUUAAAAAUGUCCAAAUUAAAUACUUGUACUAAUUUUUUAUAGGACAAAUCACAGUAUCUUUAUAACUCACAUUUUGUCAACUUUCAAGAAAGCUAAACUCCAUAUAGAUAACACAACCCCUCUUUACUAGUAAUUAACAUCACUCCAAAAUUUCACAUUUGAGUUGCAAGACCUCAAAUUAAAUAAAUUGAGACAAAAGAAGUGAUUUUCGACAAUUAUAGAGCUCAACUUCAUUUUCUAUGAAACACUAAAAAUGGAAAACAGAAGGCCCAGCGGCGCACAGGCAGUGAGGAAAACAGAAGGCAUGACUGAGAUCUUAAAGAAAAUAUACAAAAAUAGUAGAAUAAAGUUGGAAUCGUGAUGAAAAAUGUAGCUUAUCGGUGCCGCCGAUGGUGGGUUGUCUUCCUCGUAAUCUCCGGCGAACUGAUGAAGGUUUUUUGGGAGAGAGAUAUUGAAACUUUUUGUGAUAAGGCGUUUGUCUUCCUCGUAAUCUCCGGUGUGUGUAUUAUUAUUAGGUUUUAUUAUUUUAUUAAAUAUUAAAUAUAAAAUAUAAUAGAAGCG